AGCUUAGUCUUCAUUCCAAUAUUGGAUACCUAUGCAGGCAGACCUAUAGGACAACUGCUGGUACAACCUUGGUUCAAUUAGAACUUCAUACCUUUUGAAUACUACAGUUAUUCCAAUAUAAACAGAGCUGUUAUUUAGAAAACACCCCUGAAGAAGUCGAUAUAGAUGAAACGCGUUGGAUGAAAGCUCAUUAUAUUGUUGUUUUUUUUCCUUAUACAAAUAAUGUUGAAAUAUACAAUUGUAUCUCCAAUGUAAAA